rnacentral:sRNA from 1 species
GCUGGGCGUGGUGGUGCACACCUGUAAUCCCGGUGGCUUGGAGGCUGAGACAGGAGAAUCGUGAGUUCAAAGCCAGCCUCAGCAAAAGCAAGGUGCUAAGCAACUCAGUAAGACCCUGUUUCUA